rnacentral:rRNA from 1 species
GAUGAACGCUGGCGGCGUGCCUAAUACAUGCAAGUCGAGCGAACGGACGAGAAGCUUGCUUCUCUGAUGUUAGCGGCGGACGGGUGAGUAACACGUGGAUAACCUACCUAUAAGACUGGGAUAACAUCGGGAAACCGGAGCUAAUACCGGAUAAUAUUUUGAACCGCAUGGUUCAAAAGUGAAAGACGGUCUUGCUGUCACUUAUAGAUGGAUCCGCGCUGCAUUAGCUAGUUGGUAAGGUAACGGCUUACCAAGGCAACGAUGCAUAGCCGACCUGAGAGGGUGAUCGGCCACACUGGAACUGAGACACGGUCCAGACUCCUACGGGAGGCAGCAGUAGGGAAUCUUCCGCAAAGGGCGAAAGCCUGACGGAGCAACGCCGCGUGAGUGAUGAAGGUCUUCGGAUCGUAAAACUCUGUUAUUAGGGAAGAACAUAUGUGUAAGUAACUGUGCACAUCUUGACGGUACCUAAUCAGAAAGCCACGGCUAACUACGUG